UGGGGAAUUUUGGACAAUGGGCGAAAGCCUGAUCCAGCAAUGCCGCGUGUGUGAAGAAGGCCUUCGGGUUGUAAAGCACUUUUGUCCGGAAAGAAAUCCUUGGCUCUAAUACAGUCGGGGGGAUGACGGUACCGGAAGAAUAAGCACCGGCUAACUACGUGCCAGCAGCCGCGGUAAUACGUAGGGUGCAAGCGUUAAUCGGAAUUACUGGGCGUAAAGCGUGCGCAGGCGGUUUGCUAAGACCGAUGUGAAAUCCCCGGGCUCAACCUGGGAACUGCAUUGGUGACUGGCAGGCUAGAGUAUGGCAGGAGGGGGGUAGAAUUCCACGUGUAGCAGUGAAAUGCGUAGGAGAUGGUGGAGGAAUACCGAUGGGCGAAGGCAGCCCCCUGGGGCCAAAUACUGACGCUCAUGCACG
rnacentral:rRNA from 1 species